GCCCUAGUAACGGCGAGUGAAGCGGCAACAGCUCAAAUUUGAAAGGGGCCCCUUCGGGGCCCGAGUUGUAAUUUGUAGAGGGUGCUUUGGCGUUGGCCAUGGUCUAAGUUCCUUGGAACAGGACGUCACAGAGGGUGAGAAUCCCGUACGUGGCCGCUGGCCUUCGCCAUGUAAAGCCCCUUCGACGAGUCGAGUUGUUUGGGAAUGCAGCUCUAAAUGGGAGGUAAAUUUCUUCUAAAGCUAAAUAUUGGCCAGAGACCGAUAGCGCACAAGUAGAGUGAUCGAAAGAUGAAAAGCACUUUGGAAAGAGAGUCAAAAAGCACGUGAAAUUGUUGAAAGGGAAGCGCUUGCAGCCAGACUUGCUCGUAGUCGCUCAUCUAGGCUUCUGCCUGGUGCACUCUUCUGCGGGCAGGCCAGCAUCAGUUCAGGCGGUCGGAUAAAGGUCUUGGGAAUGUGGCUCUCUUCGGGGAGUGUUAUAGCCCGUGGCGCAAUGCGACCAGCCUGGACUGAGGUCCGCGCAUCUGCUAGGAUGCUGGCGUAAUGGCUGUAAGCGGCCCGUCUUGAAACACGGACCAAGGAGUCUAACAUCUAUGCGAGUGUUUGGGUGUCAAGCCCGAGCGCGCAAUGAAAGUGAACGGAGGUGGGAACCCGCAAGGGCGCACCAUCGACCGAUCCUGAUGUCUUCGGAUGGAUUUGAGUAAGAGCAUAGCUGUUGGGACCCGAAAGAUGGUGAACUAUGCCUGAAUAGGGUGAAGCCAGAGGAAACUCUGGUGGA
rnacentral:rRNA from 1 species